AAUAUCACUACAUUUCAUCAGCCGCAUCCCCUAAAACUCUCAAGUUAUCCUCUCAAAAGACUUUGUCUGCAACUCACAACCACACACCCCUCAAACUUCAUCUCCUACAUCUCAAAAAAAAAAACCUCCUCUCGAUCACUACCUACAGACACAACCAAAGCAACCCAAACCCCUUCACUGCUCUCCCCCUCUCGCCUCUCUCGGCUCCGACGGAAAACAAUCGGCCACCACCCUCCGGUGGUGGCACACGGCGAUGAAGAGCCCAACAAACACCCACCUCCUCCUUUCUGACUGAUCGGCGGCGGCGAAGGAGGCGACGAUGGUGGAUUCCGGUGGUUGACGACGGCUAGAAGCCGUUUGAUUUCCGGCGACCAGUUACGACUCCGACAAACACCGUCGGGGUUCGGUUCAGCGGUAUAGUUGGUGGUGGCGGUCGUGACGGUGGUGGCCGAUGGCACCGGAGUCGCCAGCGGCAGCGGCGACGGCACUGAUGAUGAUGAUAUUUGAGUCGGGAUGUUGAUGAUGAUGACAGUGGAUUGGUUAAGUUGAUCGGUCAUCUCGGAUUUUAGUUAUAGGUCGCGAGUUAGUCGGUUCAAGCUUCAUUUCGGGUCUCAGUUUCAACGGGAUUCAAGAUCGGGUCUUGCGGUUCGUGGUUCGGUUCGAUCAACGGUUCGGGUCAACGAUCAUACCUGUUUGGGUUAGUUCAGAAGUCUGACAGGUGUUUCGGUUCAUCUCAGAUCUUGAUUCGGGUUCUAUUCGGGUCAACAGAAGUCAGCAGCGGUUCGUGUGACGUCUCGGGUUCCAUGUCAGAUCUAGCGUGGUUCGGGUUCGGUUCGACGAGCCAGCUUUUGGUUUGGUUCAUCAGUUUCGGUCUGAGUUGGAUUUGUUUCGGGUUUCACGACUCAGUCGGGCUCGAGUCAACUCAGCUGCGUUCGGGACAAACCCGGUUGACUCGGUCAACACCCGAGUCAACUCGGGUCAACAGACUGUCAACGCAGUCAACCACAGCCAGCGAAGAUCCGGUUGCAUUUCCAAAACUAUGGAACGGUUGGAAUAGGAGAACCCAUGGGAAUUCGAGUACUUAGCGGCGUUCAUUUUCGAGAAGUCUUAGCUUAUUUGCUUCCGCUGUGCAAUGAAGAUACCGGUCCAGUCACGCCAGCUCUGAUAUUUCGGGGUGUGACAUACUAUUCCUGGUCUGGAAUACGGUUAAUUACUAUUUAUAUUAGAUGCAACAAGCGUACUAAACGAAACUCUAUCAUGAAGUCCCUACUUUCUAUACCGAUUAGUCGCCGAUUCCUGGCAAACGGGUUACGAGAUCGGAAUGUUGCCGGAAAGCGAGUUCUGCGAUAAUACGAGAUCGUUCAGUGAAGUUGUUCCUCCGAUUUCAACAAGAAUGCUUCUGUUUAACUUGUUUACACUCAAAUCGAGAAUAUCCAAAGUCGUUAGCUUGCCGACAGUCUUCGGGAUUUCACUAGUCAGCGAAUUCUUAGACAUGUUCAAGAACCUCAAGCUGCUAAAUUUCCCGAUAUCGGACGGGAUUUCACCGGAUAACUCAUUGUGGGAUACAUCGACAACUAGAGAUUCUGGUGUGAGAUGUUAACAGAGGAAGUAAACGCGCCAUUGACGCUUCCAGGGUUUUAACUACAGGGACUCAGGGUAGUGGCCAUUGGUAGAUGAAGAAAAGUGGUUGGAAAUAAAAUUAUAGUCUGUGGAAGUUUAAUUGAUCAAGAGAAUUAAAUCCCUAAUUUUAUAUAUAAGAAAUUUCGUUUGAAAUUUGUUGUUGGGUACGAAGAUCUUGAAUGGGACAGUGGGGCGGCAGCGACGGUGGCAGUGGGGUGGUGGUGUUUAUAUAUAUUAUAUGUUAAAAGUUUAUGCAUUAAAGACUUGUUCCUUGUACUUAUAUGCAUAUAAGACUUGUACUUUAUGUGUAAAUGACCAAAUUACCCUCA